GAAAAAUUGUUGAUAAUGGUGGCGAAUUCAUGGGGUUGGAGAAUAAUCAGGCUGGAGCGGCCACGAAACGACCGGCUAUUUCUAAUAUCUCGAAUUCAUACAAUUGUAUCAGGAAAUACAGAGGUUCCAGAUGCAAUGGAGAUGAUAUUUCAAUCUGCGCUGGCUUUGGGUUGAAAGGGAGUUGCAAGUGUUCUUAUAUUGGUCUAUCCUGGUGUUAUUGUUGAAUCAAAUUCGAACAUAAACAAAGUGACUUUCAUUAUAAAACUUUAGGA
rnacentral:misc_RNA from 1 species